rnacentral:rRNA from 1 species
AGUGAACGCUGGCGGUAGGCCUAACACAUGCAAGUCGAACGGCAGCACAGUAAGAGCUUGCUCUUACGGGUGGCGAGUGGCGGACGGGUGAGGAAUACAUCGGAAUCUACUUUUUCGUGGGGGAUAACGUAGGGAAACUUACGCUCAUACCGCAUACGCCCUACGGGUGAAAGCAGGGGAUCUUCGGACCUUGCGCGAUUGAAUGAGCCGAUGUCGGAUUAGCUAGUUGGCGGGGUAAAGGCCCACCAAGGCGACGAUUCGUAGCUGGUCUGAGAGGAUGGUCAGCCACACUGGAACUUAGACACGGACCAGGCUCCUACGGGAGGCAGCAGUGGGGAAUAUUGGACAACGGGCGCAAGCCUUAUCCAGCCAUACCGCGUGGGUGAAGAAGGCCUUCGGGUUGUAAAGCCCUUUUGUUGGGAAAGAAAAGCAGCAGGUUAAUACCCCGCUGUUCUGACGGUACCCAAAGAAUAAGCACCGGCUAACUUCGUG